UACGUAGGGUGCAAGCGUUAAUCGGAAUUACUGGGCGUAAAGCGUGCGCAGGCGGCUUUGCAGGACAGAUGUGAAAUCCCCGGGCUUAACCUGGGAACUGCAUUUGUGACUGCAAGGCUAGAGUACGGUAGAGGGGGAUGGAAUUCCGCGUGUAGCAGUGAAAUGCGUAGAUAUGCGGAGGAACACCGAUGGCGAAGGCAAUCCCCUGGACCUGUACUGACGCUCAUGCACGAAAGCGUGGGGAGCAAACAGG
rnacentral:rRNA from 1 species